rnacentral:rRNA from 1 species
UCGAGCGGUAACAGGUGUAGCAAUACAUGCUGACGAGCGGCGGACGGGUGAGUAACGCUUGGGAAUCUGCCUGUUAGUGGGGGACAACCCGGGGAAACUCGGGCUAAUACCGCAUACGCACUACGGUGGAAAGCCGGGGACCGCAAGGCCUGGCGCUAACAGAUGAGCCCAAGUCGGAUUAGCUAGUUGGUAGGGUAACGGCCUACCAAGGCGACGAUCCGUAACUGGUCUGAGAGGACGACCAGUCACACCGGAACUGAGACACGGUCCGGACUCCUACGGGAGGCAGCAGUGGGGAAUAUUGGACAAUGGGGGCAACCCUGAUCCAGCGACGCCGCGUGGGUGAAGAAGGCCUGCGGGUUGUAAAGCCCUUUCGGUUGGGAAGAAAAGCUGCGACCUAACACGUCGCGGCCUUGACGUAACCAACUAAAGAAGCACCGGCUAACUCUGUGCCAGCAGCCGCGGUAAUACAGAGGGUGCGAGCGUUA